UACGGAGGGUGCAAGCGUUGUCCGGAAUCACUGGGCGUAAAGGGCGCGUAGGCGGCCCUCCUAGUCGCGUGUGAAAGCCCCGGGCUCAACCUGGGAACGGCGCGCGAAACGGGAGGGCUGGAGUUCGGGAGAGGAGCGUGGAAUUCCCAGUGUAGAGGUGAAAUUCGUAGAUAUUGGGAAGAACACCGGUGGCGAAGGCGGCUCACUGGACUGGUAUUGACGCUGAGGUGGCGAAAGCGUGGGGAGCAAACAGG
rnacentral:rRNA from 1 species